CCUACGGUGAGCAGCAGUCGAGAAUCAUUCACAAUGGGGGAAACCCUGAUGGUGCGACGCCGCGUGGGGGAAUGAAGGUCUUCGGAUUGUAAACCCCUGUCAUGUGGGAGCAAAUUAAAAAGAUAGUACCACAAGAGGAAGAGACGGCUAACUCUGUGCCAGCAGCCGCGGUAAUACAGAGGUCUCACGCGUUGUUCGGAAUCACUGGGCGUAAAGCGUGCGUAGGCUGUUUCGUAAGUAGUGUGUGAAAGGCGCGGGCUCAACCCGCGGACGGCACAUGAUACUGCGAGACUAGAGUAAUGGAGGGGGAACUGGAAUUCUCGGUGUAGCAGUGAAAUGCGUAGAUAUCGAGAGGAACACUCGUGGCGAAGGCGGGUUCCUGGACAUUAACUGACGCUGAGGCACGAAGGCCAGGGGAGCGAAAGGGAUUAGAUACCCCAGUAGUC
rnacentral:rRNA from 1 species